UAUAAAUUGAGUUAAGAUAUGACAGAUAUUUUUUAAUAAAAUAUAGUGGAUAAUUUUAUUUUUUAAAAAUUUAAAUUUUUAUUGUAAAUUUUUGGAUAACAAUUACAUAUAAAUUUUUUAUAUUGAUUUGAGAUAAUUAUUAAAAUAAUUAUGUCUAUAUAUAGAGCUAGGCUGGUAUACUAUUGGUAGUACGGAGACCUUCGUGCUACCAAGUUGUUUUCAAUAUUGUGGCUUCCAAAUCGACGAUCGGCUCCGUUAGACUUGAUCUACACUAUUAAAAGUAUUUGAAAACUAAAUUUCAUAAUUUUUCGGCAUCAUUUACCUAUCAAACGAAUAGUAUAAAAAUGAACGGCUGAAAAUAAAAAUCUCAUAAAAAAUGAUAAAAAAAGACUUGAAUUUAAGAUCAGAUGUACUGAUCUUACUCUAAAUAGUGAAAAAAAAUUUCUAUAAAAAUUUCAUCAGAUUUGGAUUGUUUUACACCGUUAAAUUCACAAAUGCAUCACAUCAACAAUGCAUCAUAUCAACCAUUAAAAUUGUCAAUUUUGAGACCUUUUGAUCACUAGCCAAAUGAUAUCAAAAAAUUAUGAAAUUUAGUUUCCAAAUACUUCUAAUAGUGUAGAUCAAGUUUAACGGAGCCGGUCAUCAAUUUGGAAACCGAAUCAUUGAAAACAACUUGGUAGCACAGAGACCUCCGUGCUACUGAAUAGUAUACUAGCCUAGCUCCUAUAUAUAUAUAUAUAGAGAGAGAGAGAGAGAGAGAGAGAGAGUAGUUCUUUUGUGCUAUUAGCAUAAUGGAGACCUUCGUGUUCCUAAGCCGUUUUCAAUAAUGGAACUUCUGAGUCGAUGAUUGACUCCGUUAAACUUGAUCUAACAUAUUUGAAGUAUUUACAAAAUAAAUUUUUUGAUUGUUCGAUAUCAUUUACCUUGUGUCGAAAUGACUAAAAAUCAAUGGUUGAAAAUAAAAAUCUCACAAAAGAUUUUACAUAGUACUAAAAUUUUCGAUCACAGAUAUUAAUCUUGUUGUAAAUAGUAUAAAGAAUUUUCUAUCAAAAUUUUAUUUGAUUUAAAUACUUUUACACUGUAAAACUUGCAAACGACACACAUCAAUCAUUAAAAUUUUUUGCUUUUAACUCUUUUGAUCAUUAGAUAAAUGAUAUCGAAAAAUCGCAAAAUUUUUUCUAAAUACUUUAAGUACACUAAAUCAAGUCUAAUGAAGAUGGUCGUCGAUUCGGAAGUUUAAUUAUAACAAACAACUAGACGGAGCCCAUGUACUCCCGGUAGCACACAAGUCCUAUUAAAGUUUAGCUGCAAUACUAUCUGUAGCACGGAGAUCUCCAUGGUACCAAGUUAUUUUCAAUGGUGCGGCUUCCAAAUCAACGAUCGGUGCUGUUAGACUUGAUCUACACUAUUGUAAGUAUUGGAAAACUAAAAUUCAUAGUUUUUUGAAAUUAUUUACCUAUUAAACGAGUAGUCUAAAAAUGAAUGGCUGAAAAUAAAAAUCUCAUAAAAAAUGAUGAUAAAAGACUUGAAUUUAAGAUCAGAGAUACUGAUCUUACUCUAAAUAGUGAAAAAAAAUUAUAAAAAUUUUAUCAGAUUUGAAUUAUUUUACACUGUUAAAUUCGCAAAUACAUCAUAUCGAUUAUUAAAAUUAUCAAUUUUGAGACUUUUUAAUCACUAGCCAAAUAAUGUCGAGAAAUUAUGAAAUUUAGUUUUCAAAUACUUUCAAUAGUGUAGAUCAAAUCUAAUGGAACUGAUUAUUGAUUUGGGAACCGCUUCAUUGAAAACAACUUAGAAGCACGAAGGCCUCCAUGAUACAAAUAGUAUAGUAUUCUAUCUCUCUCUCUCUCUCUUUCUAUAUAUAUAUAUUCUACAUUAUUGAAAGUAUUUAAAAACUAAAUUUUAUAAUUUUUUGACAUUAUUUGGCUAGUGAUCAAAAUGUCUCAAAAUUGAUAAUUUUAAUGAUCGAUGUGAUACAUUUGUGAAAAUGUGAUAAAAUUUUUAUAAAUUUUUCUUUUCACUAGUUAGAGUAAGAUUAGUAUCUUUGAUCUUAAAUUCAAAUCUUUUCUCAUCAUGUUUUAUAAAAUUUUUAUUUUCAGCCGUUUAUUUUUAGACUACUAUAUUCUGAUAGGUAAAUGAUGUCCAAAAAUUAUAAAAUUUAGUUUUCAAAUACUUUCAAUAGUAUAGAUCAUAUUAUUUUAUCUUAUUUUUAAAAUAAAAAAAUAAUAAUGGACCCUCGUAACCCUAUGAAAUUUUCCACAGCUCACAUACAAUUCUAAAAUCUCAUAAAAAUUCACAUAUAAUCAAAAUAAAAUUAGUUUAUCAAAAUAGACUAGGGCUAUUAUAUUCUUAUAAAUAUAAACUCCUUUGUACUCGUAAGUUUUCGGCUAUUUACUAAAGGAAUGUAUAGUUCUCCGAUUAGGAUGAUAGUGGUCCUAUGAUCUAACUGGUAAAAAUAGUCAAAGAAAUAAUUCUGAUGAUAAAAAAUUUAAAAAAUGUAAACUCAUAAAAAUAUAAAUAGUUGAACUCUAUCAAAUAAAUAUGUGUUUGUAAAAUUAUUAU
rnacentral:lncRNA from 1 species